UAUGUAGGGCGCAAGCGUUGUCCGGAAUUAUUGGGCGUAAAGAGCUACGUAGGCGGCUUGUCGCGUCGACUGUGAAAUCCCGCGGCUCAACUGCGGGUCUGCAGCCGAUACGGGCAGGCUAGAGUUCGGUAGGGGAGACUGGAAUUCCUGGUGUAGCGGUGAAAUGCGUAGAUAUGUGGAGGAACACCGAUGGCGAAGGCAGCCCCCUGGGAUGUGACUGACGCUCAUGUACGAAAGCGUGGGAGCAAACAGG
rnacentral:rRNA from 1 species